CUUCUCACUUUGGCAGCACAUAUACAAACCUUAGAAUGAUAAAGACAAGAUUGUCAUGGUCCCUGUGCAAGGAUGACACACAAAUUCCUGAAGUACUUUAUAUAUUU